rnacentral:rRNA from 1 species
UGUAAAUUGUGUAUAAGCUUGAGUAGUAUGAGUUAUGUUCUUUAAACUUAAAGAAUUUGGCGGUGUUUUAGUCUUUUCAGAGGAACCUGUCCCAUAAUCGAUAAUCCACGUAGUAUCUUACUUAACUUUGUUUUCAACUUGUAUACCGCCGUCGUCAGAAUGUCUUUGGAGAGAUUUAAUUUUCUAAAAUUUUUAUUAAAAAUGAUGUCAGGUCAAGGUGCAGUUUAUGGUUAAGUGGAGAUGGGUUACAAUGAAUUUAUUUAUACGGAUUAAUUGGUUGAAAUCUAUUAUGAAGGUGGAUUUGAUAGUAAUUUUAUUUAUAAAGUUAAUUUGAUUUUAGCUCUAAA